GCCUGAGUGGCUCAGUCGGUUAAGCGUCUGACUUCGGUUCAGGUAGUGAUCUCACGGUCUGUGGGUUCGAGCCCCACGUCAGGCU
rnacentral:tRNA from 1 species